rnacentral:misc_RNA from 1 species
GAUGAAGAACGCAGCAAAAUGCGAUAAGUAAUGUGAAUUGCAGAAUUCAGUGAAUCAUCGAAUCUUUGAACGCACAUUGCGCCCGCUGGUAUUCCGGCGGGCAUGCCUGUUCGAGCGUCAUUUCAACCCUCAAGCCCCCGGGUUUGGUGUUGGGGAUCGGCUCUGCCCUUCUGGGCGGUGCCGCCCCCGAAAUACAUUGGCGGUCUCGCUGCAGCCUCCAUUGCGUAGUAGCUAACACCUCGCAACUGGAACGCGGCGCGGCCAUGCCGUAAAACCCCAACUUCUGAAUGUUGACCUCGGAUCAGGUAGGAAUACCCGCUGAACUUAAGCAUAUCAAUAAGCGGGGA